GAUGAACGCUGGCGGCGUGCCUAACACAUGCAAGUCGAGCGAUCUUCUUCGGAAGAGAGCGGCGGACGGGUGAGUAACGCGUGGGUAACCUGCCCUGUACACACGGAUAACAUACCGAAAGGUAUGCUAAUACGGGAUAAUAUGCUUUUAUCGCAUGGUAGAAGUAUCAAAGCUCCGGUGGUACAGGAUGGACCCGCGUCUGAUAAGCUAGUUGGUAGGGUAACGGCUUACCAAGGCGACGAUUAGUAGCCGACCUGAGAGGGUGAUCGGCCACAUUGAAACUGAGACACGGUCCAAACUCCUACGGGAGGCAGCAGUGGGGAAUAUUGCACAAUGGGCGAAAGCCUGAUGCAGCAACGCCGCGUGAGCGAUGAAGGCCUUCGGGUCGUAAAGCUCUGUCCUCAAGGAAGAUAAUGACGGUACUUGAGGAGGAAGCCCCGGCUAACUACGUGCCAGCAGCCGCCGUAAGAC
rnacentral:rRNA from 1 species